rfam:Schistosoma haematobium scaffold634_21, whole genome shotgun sequence.
CUCUAGCUGAUGAGUCCGAAAUAUGACGAAACGCAUGUCCAAGAU